rnacentral:rRNA from 1 species
CCUACGGGUGACAGCAGUGAGGAAUAUUGGACAAUGGGCGCGAGCCUGAACCAGCCAAGUCGCGUGAGGGAAGACGGUCCUAUGAAUUGUAAACCUCUUUUGUCGGGGAGCAAAAGCCGCAACGCGUGGCGUUCCGAGAGUACCCGAAGAAAAAGCAUCGGCUCACUCAGUGCCAGCCGACGCGGUAAUGCGGGGGAUGCGAGGGUUAGCUGGAUUUAUUGGGUUUAACGGGUGAGCAGGCGGAAUAUCAAGUCAGCGGUAAUGUUGAGAGGCUCAACCUCUUCGAGCCGUUGAAACUGGUUGUCUUGAGUGAGCGAGAAGUAUGCGGAAUGCGAGGUGUAGCGGUGAAAUGCAUAGAUAUAACGCAGAACGCCGAUUGCGAAGGCAGCAUACCGGCGCUCAACUGACGCUCAGGCACGAAAGUGUGGGUAUCGAACAGGAUUAGAUACCCUAGUAGUC